AGGACGAACGCUGGCGGCGUGCUUAACACAUGCAAGUCGAACGAGGAUUAGCGGAUUGAGAGUUCCGACAGGAUUGAAGCUAAUUCGAGUGGCGGACGGGUGAGUAACGCGUGAGCAAUCUGUCCCAGACAGGGGGAUAACACUUGGAAACAGGUGCUAAUACCGCAUAAGACCACGGCAUCGCAUGGUGCAGGGGUAAAAGGAGGAAUCCGGUUUGGGGUGAGUUCGCGUCCGAUUAGAUAGUUGGUGAGGUAACGGCCCACCAAGUCGACGAUCGGUAGCCGACCUGAGAGGGUGAUCGGCCACAUUGGAACUGAGAGACGGUCCAAACUCCUACGGGAGGCAGCAGUGGGGAAUAUUGGGCAAUGGGCGAAAGCCCUGACCCAGCAACGCCGCGUGAGUGAUGAAGGCCUUCGGGUUGUAAAGCUCUGUUAUAGGGGACGAAGGAAGUGACGGUACCCUAUAAGGAAGCCCCGGCUAACUACGUGCCAGCCGCCGC
rnacentral:rRNA from 1 species